AUCCGGCUGACCACGAGUCCCAAAUAGGACGAAGUGCGCUUCCUGGAU
rnacentral:hammerhead_ribozyme from 1 species